UACGUGAGGCAGCAAGCGUUGUUCGGAGUUACGUGGGCGUAAAGGGUGCGUAGGCGGCCCUGUAAAGUAGUGGUCGUGAAAUCUCCCGGCUUAACUGGGAGGUGCGCUAUAGACUGCGGGGCUCGAGUGAUGGGAGAGGAAAGUGGAAUUCCUGGUGUAGCGGUGAAAUGCGUAGAUAUCAGGAGGAACACCGGUGGUGUAAACGGACUUUCUGGGACCAUAACUGACGUGAGGCACGAAAGCGUGGGUAGCAAACAGG
rnacentral:rRNA from 1 species